rnacentral:misc_RNA from 1 species
AAAAAGUAUAACAUUAGAGAUUCCCAGUAAAUUGAUUAACUAUUUGACCAUUCAAUAGUUUUAUGGAAUAAGUUAAUUUUUUCUUUGAGAAAAACAAAAUAGGAGAUUAUAAAUGGAAGUUUCCUUCUCGAAUCUAUUCAUUAGCACACCCCUAAACAAACAAAAGUGCCGAUAACGUUAAAAUAUUUGGUAUGAAGUCUCGAUCUACUCAAUAAAAACAAAUAAAUUAAUA